rnacentral:rRNA from 1 species
GACGAACCGUGCGAACGUUAUUCGGAAUCACUGGGCUUAAAGCGCGUGUAGGCGGGCCAGCACGUCGGGCGCUGAAAUCCCCCGGCUCAACCGGGGAACGGGCACCGAUACGACUGGCCUGGAGGGGAGUAGGGGACCUGGAACUUCCGGUGGAGCGGUGAAAUGCGUUGAGAUCGGAAGGAACGCCCCGUGGCGAAAGCGAGGUCCUGGGCUCUUACUGACGCUGAGAAGCGAAAGCAUGGGGGAGCGAACAGG